GUACUCACUUUGGCAGCACGUACACUAACAUUGGAACAAUACAGAGGAGAUUAGCAUGAACUCUGUGCAAGAAUGACAUGCAAAUUUGUGAAGCUUUCCAGAGAUAG